CCAGGAACGGGAAGCAAGGAAGUAGGAAGCGCUCUGAUCCGCGAGCGGCUAGAGGCUAGAGGCUAGAGGCUAGAGGCUAGAGGCUAGAGGCUAGAGGCUAGAGGCUAGAGGCUAGAGGCCCACGGAGGCCCACGGAGGCCCCAGAGACUGUCUAUCAUGGAUAUUUAACUGCAGUUCUGUGAGUAUCCCAACUUAACCAUGAAGAUGAACUGCAAACUGUAAGUCAUUAAUUUCUUAUUACUCUUGGGCACAUUGAUGUAUUUUGGCUUCCUGGUGAGUUAACCUGUUACCUGAAGGUUGAUCUGAGUUGCAAGGAUGUUUUAUUGGUUGGUUUUAAUGAUUUGUUAAAAUGGUUACAGGCUGCAAGUUAUUGUUGUAAGCUGGAGUAAUGGGUUGGGUUCUGAUAUCUUCAGUCUUCUUUCAUUCUACUCUCCUGAGCUCUGCAUCUUCAUCACAUGUGUGUUGCUUUACUGAUGAGCGUGUGGUCUGAGUGAGCAGAGGUGCAUACUGGGAUACAGAGCUGUCUGAAGUCUACUGGUCUGUAGACAUGCCCCCUCAGGGGAAACCGAGUGUUUGAGAAACUGUCGUGACGUCAGUUACAUGGACUGGAAUGUUCUUAAAGAUGGAGACAGGGAUUCAGAAGGAGAAACACCAUGGGGAGAUGAGGGGGCUCCUCAUCUCAACGACUGAAACACAAUUUCAGUCUGACGCAGAGAACCAUGGAACACAUUCAACAGUCCCCUCCAGGCAUCGUGACUCCUCAGGAACAGUUUCAUUUCCAAGAAGCUCUUAUUUGGGGCCAUCCCAUAUGGAUCGUGCUCCUCAAAAGCCCCCCCCCCCUCCACUGGGUGGUCUUCUGAACAGAUGACCUCCUUCCUGUCCUCAGGCUGACUAAAGCAAAACCGCUUGCAUCUGUGAAGGCCCCUCAUUCAGGAAACCACUGGACUACAAAGACAUGACUUCCGAGACGUUGAAUCAACCUGGGACACAUUUUGGAGACGCCAAGCUUAAUCCAUCACCAAUGUGGGACGCCACUGAAGUGUUGUACAUAAUUUACGUCUCUGGAGACAUUGGUUGUUCUGUUAUGGGUGCCCUGGCAGGAGAGCUGGGGGGGGGGGGAUGGAUGGAAUAUUAUUUGGCAUGAGGUUUUUACCCUGCAUGAUUAUUUGGCAUUUUAUGGCUCAGUGGUGUGUGUGUGUGUGUGUGUGUUUGGGGUUGACAUGAGAUGGAAGAUUUUUGUGCAUCGCUAGGGUUCUACUGUGGGUGGGUGGGUCACACCUGGCAUGGGGUUCUACGUGUGUGUUUCCGGCUUGCUUUGACAGUGAUGAUGUUCAUACGGGGGUCUAUGAUUGGCUUGGGAUAUUGGAAUGGUCAACUAAAUCAUACCUGUUGGACGGCCACACGUUUACUUAAGGGCCUCCAGUAGACAUGACGAGCCCUGAGCGACUCUCCGGAGCGAGAUCCAACACACUGGGCAGGAAGGAGAGUAUCCAACUCAAGUGUAAAAGGAUGCAAGCGGCGUGUUCAGAUCAGUGACUUCAAACUAGGACUACACCAAUCAGGCUCAAUGGAGGAUGGACCCCAAAAGGAAUUCCACAAGGAGAGUCUGACGUUGGAAAGGGACCUAAAUGGAUAUUCAAGAUGACCUUCAGACCUGUAAUGAGACGGCUCUUCCUACCUGGCUGGAUUGAUGGAGAGCCCUGUGGAUCUUGUCUUGCUCUCAGUUGCACGUCUUCUCAGGCUGAACUGUAUUUGUUUCGGACAGGACUAGCUGAACGAUUGGUUCCCUUAAAUCAGAACCAAUCCGGGAACUCCAGCUAGGGCGCUCUUCGAGCUGAAGUUGUGUUCUUCAGCUGAGGAGGUAAGGAAACCUUCGCUGGGGCUUCAAGGUGUAAAGAGGACUGUUUCAAAGUGUUCCAUGGUACUCUGAUGAAGACCGUUGUUCUGUUCCACUGGCUGAGAGGAAGAACUCACACAUCUUCCUCUUGGCCUUUCUCCUGAGAAUCCUGGCGCCAUCUUGUAGGAUAUUCCAGCUCAUGUAACUGAUGUCACGACAGAUUCUCAAACACUUUGUUUCUCCUGAGGGGCGUGUCUAUAGAACUGAAGACUUCAGACAGCACUGUAUCCCAGUAUGCAUCUCUGCUCACUCAGACCACACCCCCAUGAGUAGGAUGCAACACUCUAGUGAUGGCGAUGUAGAGUUUUAUAAGUAACGAGGGAGCAGACUAAGGUGAUUAGAACACAAUGUAAUGUCCAGUCUGUAAAUCUUUAAACCAUGAAGAUGGUUGGAUAGUUCAGGAAUCAGGCUUCUUUUUAUUAUGGGCAGUCCUUUCACUCAGAUGCCCACUUCUCACUGGAGCUGUAUAUGUGUUGGCUGGCUGGCAUAAUUUGCUGUUGGUGAUGAGGCGGUCAGGGUGACGUUGCAGGGCUAUGGUCGGCUCUCGGUGAGCUCAACGUUUAGAUUUGCUCUGUAUGGUUUGUACCCUGAAUAAUCUAGAUAAUUGUAAAAUGUAGACACGGUUUUGUAUUGAAUGACUCCAGGAUUUUAGGUUUAAAGUUGUUGUGGGACGUACAUGGUAGUUUGGUUCUUCGUAUGGUUUUGAGUGAUAUAACUUGUACACACUGGGUGCAUAAUAAUGUAAAUGUACACUGAAUAGUAGUAUUGACCAACAGCAACAAACAGAUCUCCUCAAGGUAAGUCUGUUGGCUGUGUUUUAAUGAAGACCAUCGCUGGACUUCAGGAUCUUCCGCCGUUCAGCUCAAGGUGAGGCGCUGGUUCUGUUUUUUCUUUGGUUGGUUCCGGCUGGAAUGUUCGGAUUCCAGUCGGACGGUUUGUGCUUCCCGCCGUGGAAGGUUCUGAGUGGGGUCACUUGAUUUAGUCCCAAUGGUUAGCAUAGAACGUUGUAGUCUUGACAACCAUAAGAAACCACCUGGCAGUUAGUUGGACAUGAGUCCCCUGAGGGAAUCUGGCGAACGUUCUGGAUUGUAUUUGCGUAACCUCGAGCCGUUGCCAACGGAAACUAUUUUUCAGUCGGUUUCUAUUGGGAAUUGUUGCCCCUAUCUUAAACAACUUAAGUUUGAUAUUAAAUACAUACGUCGUACAAUAUGUUGAUAAUUUCCGAUGGUUGCGCCGUACUUUUAACCACGAUGACGUGACGGGACUCUCACUGCGUACAAAACAGCGUUCUACUUGCGGGCCCAUUUUUGACAUCGGGGAAGGCUGAAAAUCAUUUCAAGGUGGAAGAUGAUUUUGACAUUUCUUCAACGGAACCCAGCACCUGAAUAUGGCUGAGUAUGUUUGAUUUAAUAUCGAUACUGCUUGGUGUUCUUUGUUACUUCAGCUUUUGUACGUUCUAAAUAUCUGCCGUCAUUAAUUGCCACAGAAGUUAAACCCUACCCAAUGGAAUGACGUUAAAAAACGACUUUGGUGCAGAGUUACCAACUGGAUAAUGUCAAAGCUAAAAUAAUGGCCGUCAUUCCCACAUGUUACAGUAGAAGAUACUCUAGAACUGUACAAGGUUAAAAAUGUAACAUGUAGUUUGUCCCAAGGUGUCUGCCUCCUCACCCAGAGCCAGACCUCCACCUCCUGUCAGAAGUCCUCCAGAACAGCUGAAAGGCGAGGCUGAGAGGCUGGGGACCGGAGGCUUGUGGUGCCAGGGUGGACCGGAGACUGAGGCUGGAGACCAGGGGCCUGCAGCACCGGACCAGAGGACCAGGAAUCCAUGGCUGAAGGAGCUGAUGGAGGAGCCAGGCUGAUGGAGGAGCCGUUCUGAAGGAGCUGAUGGAGGAGUCGUGCUGAAGGCCCUGCCCGGUGGAGGAGCUGGUGGAGGCCCUGCCUGGUGAAGGACGGCUGUCGUGGGACCAGGACUCUGUCUGAGGAGAGCUGAUGGAGGAGCUGAGACGCUGGAGGACGACUAGGAAUCGACCAACAAGGAUUCCUCAACGUGUUUCUGGAGCGGAGGCGAGCUGGUAGGGGAGCCGUGAAUCUGGAGGAAGACAUCACUCUACCAACAAGGAUUACCAGGACUCUGGCUGAGGAGAGCUGAUGGAGGAGCCAAGACUCUGGAGGACAACAUCACUCUACCAACCAGGAUCCUCGAAUCUGGAGGACUGAUGGAGAAGCCGUACAUCUGGAAGGCAAAUCCUGAGGACAACCAGGACGCUACCAUCAAGGAUUCCUUACGCACUUGAGCUGAACCUCACCUGAUCCUGUUUGGUCGGGGGUAGACACACCUGAGCUGAACCUCACCUGAUCCUGUUUGGUCAGGGGCAGACACACCUGAGCUGAACCCGCCCUGAUCCUGACAUCCUGCUGGUCCCGUCUCCUCAGUUCAUCUGAGCCUCGUCCACCAGAAGACCUGCUGAGCUCAGCAGUCUGAGGCUGAUGGAUCAAUGACCUCCAGUGGGAGUGAUCUUCUUGCCCCCACAUACCAGGAAUCCAUGGCUGAAGGAGCUGAUGGAGGAGCCGUGCUGAAGGAGCUAAAGGAGUCGUGCUGAAGGCCCUGCCUGGUGGAGGAGCUGGUGGAGGCCCUGCCUGGUGAAGGACCUGCCUGACCAGGACUCUGUCGGCGGAGAGCUAAUGGAGGAGCUGAGACACUGGAGGACAACUAGGAAUCGACCAAAUAGGAUUCCUCAACGUGUUUCUGGAGCGGAGGCGAGCUGGUAGGGGAGCCGUGAAUCUGGAGGAUGACCAUCACUCUACCAACAAGGAUUACCAGGACUCUGAUGGAGGAGAGCUGAUGGAGGAGCCAAGACUCUGGAGGAUGACAUCACUCCACCAACCAGAAUCCUCAGACAAAUUACGUUUGUAAGCAGACCAGGAAUCUGGAGGACUGAUGGAGAAGCCGUACAUCUGGAAGGCAAAUCCUGAGGACCACCAGGACUCUACCAUCGAGGAUCUGGACAUAGUGGACUAGACACACCUGAGCUGAACCUGAUCCUGUUUGGUCGGGGGGUAGACGCACCUCAGCUAAACCCGCCCUGAUCCUGACAUCCUGCUGGUCCCGUCUUCUCAGUUAAUCUGAGCCUCGUCCUCCAGAAGACCUGCUGAGGCUGAUGGAUCGAUGACCUCCAGUGGGAGUGAUCCUCUUGACCCCACAUGUAACGUGUGCUUCCACACGCCUUUCCCUCACGUCUGUCACUAACCUCACUACUUCACAACUCUCUACUGCUUCCUCUUUUCUUCCUUCUCUGUGGUUCAAACCUUUACACUGAAGGCGCGUCUUCAUGCCCUCAGAGGGUUUAGCGUUAGGGUUGAGAGUCAGGGUUUAGAGUCAGGGACAGAGCUGGUCAGGGAGGACUGCUUUUACACAAACCUCUUCACUUGCUUUCGGAAUGGUGGUGACAUUUUGAAAAGAUUAAAUUUGGGAAAAUGUUUUACAAAAUUGUAUUGAACUUCUGUCAAGUGUUUUUGUUUAUAUAUUAAAAUCCCAC